GCAGGGGAUUAUCCUUCUUCUUGAACCCUUUGUUGUGUGCCCCCAAACCCCUCCGAAACUCCCAAGCUCUCGUUUUCGGCUUCUCAGACAAUAUGGUGAGCAAAAGACAGAGAGAUGCUCGCAAGAGAUUCAGGGCAGAAAACCCUGAACUGGUUAAACAGCCGACGCCGCCUAAGGACCCAAGCAAGAAGAAGGGAAAGAAGAGCACGUUCAAGCGCAAGAAAGCACCCAAUGGUCCAGACAAACCCACCAAAACUUCUCAUAGCAAACACCCACUUAGAGUCCCUGGUAUGAGGCCUGGGGAGAGCUGUUUCAUUUGUAAAGCCACCAACCAUAUCGCCAAGCUUUGCCCUGAGCGAGCUGGGUGGGACAAGCACAAGAUAUGUUUGUAUUGUCGACAACGUGGGCAUAGCAUCAAGGAUUGCCUUAACAAGAAUGAUGACACCGUGGCUGUGAAGUUAUGUUAUAAUUGUGGGGAAACUGGGCAUUCACUAUCUACCUGCCCCCUACCUCUUCAAGAAGGAGGAACUAAAUUUGCCAAGUGCUUCAUCUGUAACGAGACCGGUCACUUAAGCAAGGACUGCUCUAAAAAUACUCAUGGGAUUUAUCCAAAGGGUGGUAGUUGUAAGAUUUGUGGAGGCGUAACACAUUUGGCUAGAGAUUGUCCCAACAAAGGCAACAGAGAUUCAAUGGCUGUUGGCGGAGCUUUUCACUCAUGGAAUGAAAAUCAAAGGCCAAGAGGAAAGGUUACCAAACUUGUGAGUGGAGACGAUCUUGAUGAUGAUUUCAAUUUCGUAGAUAAGAAACGUGGUGGUGCAACAGACGAGUCAGUUGAAAGUCCUGCUUCUCAUGCGCAAGAAAGUCCUGUAAAAUCAAAGAAGAAACAGGGACCCAAAGUAGUGAAUUUUGUUGGAUUUGUGUAUAUGAUAAGCCAUAGAAGCUUCAGAGAAUUCUCAACCUUUGUUUUGUCCCUUAAAAUUCUCUUAUUCCCCGCAAUUUUCUGAGCUCCUUCUCAUGGCUCCCCAAAAAUAAGGAUCUAUCCGUCUGCUAUACUCUGCAUCUCUCUCGUUCUGUUCCUCUUUCUUCUUCUUCUUCAUUUCGCACUACACAGUCCCUGUCUCUUUUUGGACAACAAAAUGGCGGCGUCUGGCAUGGCUGUGAGUGAUGAAUGCAAACUCAAGUUCUUGGAGCUAAAAGCGAAGAGAAACCAUCGAUACAUUAUAUUCAAGAUUGAGAUUCAACAAGUGGUGGUAGAGAAGGUUGGUACCAAAGAAGAAACAUAUGACGACUUUGCGGCAUCCCUGCCUGCCGAUGAGUGUCGCUAUGCUGUCUUUGAUUUUGAUUUCACCACUGUCGAGAACUGCCAGAAAAGCAAGAUUUUCUUCAUUGCAUGGUCCCCUGAUACAUCAAAGGUGAGAAUGAAGAUGGUGUACGCAAGCUCCAAAGAUAGAUUCAAGAGGGAAUUGGAUGGCACUCAAGUUGAGUUGCAGGCAACUGAUCCUAGCGAAAUCAGCCUUGACAUUAUAAAAAGCCGAGCUCUUUAAGCAACCAAACUCAUCCGCCUCCCCUAAACAUUUACAUUUAACUUUUUUCUGUUCAAAAUUCCUUCUUCUUCUUUUCUUCUUUUCUUCUGUGUUGUAUGGGGUUGCAUACCAACCAUGUAGUUUAAUGUAAUAUUAUGAAUUCUUUUAUCAAUUUCAAACUUUUUACAACAUUUUCUUCAAUUUAGUCAAUACAGGAGAUAUAUCAUCUCUGUUUUCAA